rnacentral:rRNA from 1 species
AUACGGAGGAUCCGAGCGUUAUCCGGAUUUAUUGGGUUUAAAGGGUGCGCAGGCGGCCAUUUAAGUCAGCGGUUAAAUCGUGGGGCUCAACCCCAUUCUGCCGUUGAUACUGGGUGGCUUGAUUGCGGUCGAGGUUGGCGGAAUUCGUUGUGUAGCGGUGAAAUGCAUAGAUCUGACGAAGAACACCGAUUGCGUAGGCAGCUGACCAGACCGCAAAUGACGCUCAUGCACGAAAGUGCGGGGAGUGAACAGGUUUAGAUCCCCUGGUAGGCCGCACAGUAAACGUUUAAUACUUGUUUUCGGAGAUAUAAUUUCGAAGGUAAAGCGAAAACUAUAAUUAUUCCACCUGGGGAGUACUCCGGCAACGGUGAAACUCAAAGGAAUUGACGAUG